rnacentral:ncRNA from 1 species
CGGCGGCUCGCCUGAGCCGCCGGCCCACCUACCCGAGUACCUGACACGGCCCGGGAGA